rnacentral:lncRNA from 1 species
CACAGAAUGCGCUUCAGCUGAUCAGAUGAAGACACGCUGGAGUAGGUCAACCUGUGCUCUGAAUGCCUUUGCUUAGGUCUGCAGUGAUUGUGGAAGAAGGGAUACAGGGUGGUUUUCUUGUAUGCGGAGGUUUGUGUAGCAAAUCCUUGCACAUUCUGAUGGCUGUGGCUCUGUUCACCUCUAGCCAGGCUGCUCGGUUCCCAUGCUCUCCUCACAGUAAAUACACUGCCUCAGCCUCUGUUGUCUUCAGCCAUGCAGUGGUCAUUGCCAGCAGGGGCCAUUAACUCACCCUUCAUAACCACAGCUCUGCAGUACACACAGAGGUAGUCAGCAGCACAUGACUACUGAGUUCCUUGAAUCAGCGAACGCUGCUUGGACUACAGCAUCCCAAUGGAGUCACACUGAGGUUUUCUCUGUCAGUACUGUCUUUCAAAUCUGCUUUCUAACAGCACACUGAAUGGUGUAAGCGGAGAACAGAGUUCUAGCCGGCGAUCUGUCAUCAACAGCAUCCUGCUCUUAAGCUGGGCUGAUGGUUGCUGCUUUAAAUAUGCCUGCAUUUCCCCCAAGAACGUGAAAUUCUGGGACGGUGAAUGCAGGUCAGUGGAUGAACUCUUGACCAGAGCAUUUAACAUUUGAGUGUAGCUUUAGGAAGCGCUGUCCUUCUGGAGGAAAAAGUGAGUGAGCAAGAUCGCUAUUGAGAGAACUAAGAAAGGAUGUGGAUAUGGUAUUGAUGUCUCUCUUCAGGCUGUGUUUUUGAGGUCCAGCAGUGCAGACACUUCAAACUGCAUGCUAACUACGUGGGCUGAAAAAGAGGAUUGUGGACUGUUUGCAUCACCUUCAUAGAUUGUCAAAGACAACCCAGGC